CAGAAUAUUCUGGGGGCGGAUAUCUCACUUUAUGAGUGCUCUGUUGGUGUGAGAUCUGCAGUAAGAGCUUUGAGAAUGCCUGAAGUCAUUGCCUCUUGUCAUCUUGAGAGGUUUGUUCUGAUGGUUCGUUGUAGCAGGAGAGUCAAGGGCAGUUAGGAUUCUCCCUAUUUAGAAAGGAGGAGAAAUGCAGCCGGCUUGAGGAGGGUCCUGUUGAGCUGAUUACCAUGAGCCGCCCCAAACCAGAACUGAUCAAGCUCUGCUGGCAGCGUCUUUAGAACUUGGGUGGCCCCAUUCGAAGCUGAAAAAAAAUCAACAAAAGGGCAAGGGUGGGGAGAUUUCAUGCACACCCUUGAAUAAAGGAGUGAUGGUUUUCAAACUCUA